GCAAAGCACUCCUACGGGAGGCAGCAGUGGGGAAUAUUGCACAAUGGGCGCAAGCCUGAUGCAGCCAUGCCGCGUGUAUGAAGAAGGCCUUCGGGUUGUAAAGUACUUUCAGCAGUGAGGAAGGUGGGUAUGUUAAUAGCAUAUUCAUUUGACGUUAGCUGCAGAAGAAGCACCGGCUAACUCCGUGCCAGCAGCCGCGGUAAUACGGAGGGUGCGAGCGUUAAUCGGAAUUACUGGGCGUAAAGCGCAUGCAGGUGGUUUGUUAAGUCAGAUGUGAAAGCCCGGGGCUCAACCUCGGAAUUGCAUUUGAAACUGGCAAACUAGAGUACUGUAGAGGGGGUAGAAUUUCAGGUGUAGCGGUGAAAUGCGUAGAGAUCUGAAGGAAUACCGGUGGCGAAGGCGGCCCCCCUGGACAGAUACUGACACUCAGAUGCGAAAGCGUGGGGAGCAAACAGGAUUAGAUACCCUGGUAG
rnacentral:rRNA from 1 species